rnacentral:rRNA from 1 species
AGAGUUUGAUUAUGGCUCAGGAUGAACGCUAGCUACAGGCUUAACACAUGCAAGUCGAGGGGCAGCAUGAUCAAAGCUGCCUUGAUGAUGGCGACCGGCGCACGGGUGAGUAACGCGUAUCCAACCUUCCCUAUAGUAGUGGAUAGCCCGGCGAAAGUCGGAUUAAUACACUAUGUUGUGUUUAGAGGACAUCUGAAGAAUACCAAAGGUUUACCGCUAUAGGAUGGGGAUGCGUCUGAUUAGAUAGUAGGCGGGUAACGGCCACCUAGUCGACGAUCAGUAGGGGUUCUGAGAGGAAGGUCCCCCACAUUGGAACUGAGACACGGUCCAAACUCCUACGGGAGGCAGCAGUGAGGAAUAUUGGUCAAUGGACGGGAGUCUGAACCAGCCAAGUAAGCGUGCAGGAUGACGGCCCUAUGGGUUGUAAACUGCUUUUAUACGGGGAUAAAGUGAGCCACGUGUGGCUUUUUGUAGGUACCGUAUGAAUAAGGACCGGCUAAUUCCGUGCCAGCCGCCGC